GUAAGUUUAUUCCAAUCUAUGUCCUCAAAUCUUGUUUGAUUGGUUUCAUGAAUUUGUUAAUGUUGUUUUAGCAUUAAAAUGCACGCCUUAUGAAACUUGAUUUUUGGUUUAUAUAUCAUACAUGAUAUAAAAAAUUUUACUUUGAAAUUUAUCUAUGUUUAAUUAGCUUCCUAACCUUGCUCUGGACUGCCCAAGGAAGUAUUGGGACUGAAUGAGGAAUCGUAAAUGCUGAUGCUAUCUGCUACAAACUCUUUAGGAUGAUGAUCCUUCCAGUAUUUAUAUGAUUUUAUCGUUAUAUCAGUCUGCAUAUUUUUCUGCAUAUUGUGGAUGUGUUUAUA
rnacentral:misc_RNA from 1 species